CAGCGUUACCGUACUUGUACGAGUCUCCUCUAUAUGUACAUAAACGAAUAGUGAAAUAUUCAGAAACAUAGGGCGAUUAGCCAUAGUUGGUUAUGAUCAACAUACAACAUACAAUAUGUAGACAUAUAGUAUUUCGUCAAUUUCAUCAAUUUGGAUGAAACUAUGAGGAAUUAUUACGGGUGGAUCGCAAUGUAUCGGUUCGCAACGCGGCGGUGGUCCGUUCCAUCUCUCGUCUAUAUCGCACGUUAGUCUCGCACGACCUACAAAAGGAGAUACGAUAGAGUGAUUUCAUGAUAACCGCAUUCGAUAUCUAAGGAAACACAUUGCAAACACAUUAAUUAGGAUCCAUUCGUAAUUCACUCAGAUCUACGAGAGGAUAAAUAGCAAUCAUUAUUCUUACUUUUACAAACUGGUGGGAAUUCAUUGUAGAAGCCUGUAUCAAGACACGUACGAGUCGAAGGUCCGAUGAGAAGACUUCCAGAAUUGCAAGUAUAUUCUACGGUAGCGCCAACUUCGUAUUGACUAACAAUGUUUCUAUUUAUUGUAGCUGUUACGAUCAUGGUCGAGUUCGGUGGCUGUUCAGGUCUACCGCAAGCUCGUGGUUCUAAAAAUUGAGUAUCCUUGUGUUAAAAAUGUAUCAUCAAAGUGGAAAAAGACUUAAAGACGUAAAAAUAAAGGAAAACACUUACGGUGUUGACAAAUAAAAUUUAGUCGAGCGUUGCAAGGUGUAUCGGACCAGAGCCAACCCCUGCUACCAUCGUAUCGAACGCAAUCUUCUUCUGUACCUUGUGGAAGACUCCAAAAAGAUACGGAGACUUCUUCUCCACUGCCCGUCCACCUCCAAAUAGUUCGAUCGUUUUGAUCUCUCAUUGCACCCAUCCAGUACUGACUAGUCGUGUCACUUCUUCUUGAAAGAUAAAUAAUGUCAAUCUAGUUUAUCGUGAUAUCGAACAAUGAAGAUUUGAUGACAAAAUAUAAGACGUUUAAAUGGUAUAGUACCUGUGCCGUCUCCAUAAUUCCCAUGAGAUAAAUCCUUGAAGGGCAGGAUUACUUUCAUCGACUAGAGUUCCACCUCGUGCUCGGCAAAAGGCUAGAGCCUCUCUGAAGAUUAGCGGUUGUCGAUUAUAAAAUAUAUAACACUUUCCAUUAUAAGUAGCAGUUGAUCCCGGAGGUUGAUCUCUGAAUUGUGGACAUCUCUCGAUGGGCAGUGCCUACGUAUGGGAAUAUCAAAACGAAAGAUGGGAAGUUUAGCUAAUUGUGACUAUGAGAGACAUGAAUGACGAUCAUAGGGUAAAUCAUAGGGUACAUACCUGGUCUGUAUAAACGAAAGCUUCGCAUAAGGAAAGCUGCACCGGAAUUAGCGCUUGGGUGGAAGCCUCUAAAUGUACCGAAACGAACGCACCAGGCAUUGGUGGAUUGCAAGGAAGGAAAAGAGGUUGACCCUCUUCUAGCAGACCAGUGAAACGAUUGCAAAUUGGAUUUGUUCCCAAAUCCGGCCGAUUGUUACCAACACGAACGAUGAUCGUGCCAGGAAUAGCAGUUCCUAAUUGAAAGAAAGAAGCACCCUUUUAUCUUUUCUUCGCUCCGUUACCAUUCGCCUUUCUUCUUUAUCUCCCUCUCUUUCUCUUUCUCGUUUUAAUUUACUAUGUAUAAUUAAUUUAAAAGCGAAUCGGAAAAAAGGAAUUGAGAAGAAACAAAAGAGCCAACAUCUUUCGACCUAAAUAACGUUUCAACUGCCACAAUGAGCGCAGAGCCAUGACGUAGAUAGUUAUUAUAAUAUUAUAUAUUCUUCUUGGGAUAUUUCGUUUCUCUUCGACAGAAGAAAAAUAAAUAAAAAAGGGCAAAAGAGAAAAACGAAACGAUAUACGCAUUGAAUGCAGAACUUUCUUGCAUUGGUAAACUCUGUGAAUUUCACUGUUUGAAAGCGCGUAAAGGAAGCGCGAGAUCGGAACGAAGCCGAAGAUCGAUACGUGCCUCAUCGUCAUUUUCUUCCUUUUCUCGAGAGAAACUACGCUGUCACGGAUCGUCUCGUCCUCUUCGUUCGAUUGUCAUUUUAUGAACAAUAAAAUUAUGUUUCCCUGA